GCUGCAGCUCCAAUUAGACCCCUAAACUGAGAACCUCCAUAUGCCACAGGUGCAGCCCUAAAAAAAAAAAAAAAAGAAAGAAAGAAAAAAGAAAGAAAAUUGAAGUAUAAGGCCUUUUCUAGAAGAGAUUUCUCUUCACAUUCGAAACAGUCAUUAUGAGAUACAAUUUUAUGUUUUUAAUCACAACUGGGGAAGGAUGAAAUCAAACACCUUUUACUUCUACCCUAAAUCAAAUAAAACUAUGCUAUCAUUGAAGGAUUUAAUUAUCUAUACUAAUCAAAUUAGCAUUUUUCUAAAUUUUCUAAAAUGAUGAAUUACUAUCAUAUAAAUGAUUUUCAUCCAAAUUCCGCAAUAAUUUUACUAGUAAAAGCAAAGAACUCUGAGAGACACCCUGAGUUUCUUUUCUUUUUUUUUUUUUUUUCAUCUUUUUAGGGCUGCACCUGCAGCAUGUGGAAGUUUCCAGGCUAGGGGUCAAAACGGAGCUACAGCUUCAGGCCUAUGCCACAGCCACAGCAACUUGGGAUCCCAGCCUCAUCUGUGACCUACACCACAGCUCAAGGCAACACAAGAUCCUUAAUGGACUGAGCAAGGCCAGAGAUUGAACCCGUGUCCCCAAGGAUACUAAUCGAGUUUGUUACUGCUGAGCCAUAAUGGGAAUUCCCACCUUGAGUUUCUCAACCAAUCCCUGCCAGACAUUCAAGCAUCCCAUAAUCCUUUAUGAAGCAAUUUCUACAACUGGGUAGCAAGUUGGGUAUAUGGCUUUUCAAAUCAAAGUCCUUAUUUCCUUCUACAAAGUAUUAACAAAACAAAGCAAAAUUUAAAAAAAAAAUGCUUCAGAAUAUGAAGUGUUCUAUGCAGGAUGAUCCAAGUUUUGUAGGGCCUGAAAUUUCGGGAGCCUCUUUUAUGAAAAAGAAUGUAAAACUUACAAAUGUAAAAUCCAGCAUGUGUGUGAAUACUUAGAAUGAGAAAAUAAAUCAUGAACAAUUGCAAAAUUUAAAAAUCUAAAAAAUAUUGCAAAAUUCACAAGGUUGGCAAAUUCAUUUUCUCUAAUACAAUUCAUAUAUAUUAUUUUACUAUUGAUAUUUUAGAAAAUUUUUAUCUUCACAACUUGUUAUUGGUAAUGUUAUAAAAAUGUUUAGGAUUGUUAUCCAAUUUGGGAAAACUUUUAUCAAGUUUAUUCAUAUAAAUAAGAUCCUAGGCAUUUCAAAUAUUUCUCCACAUUGACUAUCCCAUAAUACUGAGUUGACAACACUUAUUAACCAGUUUGUCACAGAUAUCUUCAUUACUUUGAUGUCAUUAGGAUUUUCAUGUUAUCCUCAUCAAAGUCAAUAAUCUUGUCCAAAUGGCAAAAAAUUUAAGUCUUUUUCCACUGGGUUCAUUUGACUCAUUUCUCCAGUAAUUUGAUUAUCUAACAAUUUAUAACUAUUCAUUUGCUAUUCAUUUGCCCUUGCUCUGGAAAAGCAUUUCUCUCUCUUAACAAGGUACUAUUUUAGGUAUGAUUUGAACAUGUCUUGUUAUCAUUUGCUUCUCAUUGUCAAAGUCAUUUUAACUAAUUCUGUUUCUCACCUUUUUUUGCUUUUGUUUGCAUUAUUUCAUUAUUUUUAUGUAAAUUUUCUCCCACUUAAAAAAAUAAGUGUCCCAAAUGAGGAAUCUAUAAUUUCUCACUUGUUACUUCAAAAACAUUUCAAAAAGUAUUUCCAUAUCACAGCUAACAUGGCUUCCCCUUGCCUUACCCUAAAAAUGCUCUGUGACUGAAAUGAGUGGAACAAGACUCAAAUUGUAACUAACUGCAGUUGAACUGUUUUGCCUCAUACUAAGUAUGCAUUUGUGUUAUGUAAUGCAGAAAGGGAAACCAACUAUGUCUGGUGAGUUCCGGGAAAGCAUCACAAUGAAGGUGAAUUUUGGAGCUGACUCUUGCAAAAUACAUCAGUAUUCACAAGGUAGGGAAGACUGUGGGCAAGGACUGUGCAGAAGUUCAAAGCCCCACAGCAUAAACCCAGGUCUCUAAUUUCACACGCGAUGCUUUCCACACUUCAGUGGUUUAAGAUGUAAAGUGAUCUCUGAAACUACCUCUCAUUCUGUACUUCACUUAUUGUGCACCAAUUCUGUCUUUAAAAUGAGUACGUUCAGCUGAAUAAAAUAGGUCCUAGGGUUGGGCAAGGAGCAUGUUUAGGCUUUAGAGAAGGCAUGGAAGUGAAGGGCCAGGAGAGAGGAAGAGAAUGCCUUUGGCGCAUGAGAUCAGUCAGAGAAUCCUCUGUGGUCCAUCCCAAGGUGGGAGGGAGUAAACAUUGAGUUGACGCCAAGGUCCUCAACUGCAAGGAGCACCAGGGGGAGAAAUGCCAAGGUCUACAGGGAGGCAUUUUCCUGGUAGCCCCCUCAGAUUCCCUCAUCUUCAGAGAGUGCUCUGGUUACCUUAACAUGCCAUAAACAAAGCUGACACCAAGAAGCACAAAAUUUACUUCAAGGAACUUUCCCUGAAUAGUCUUACAUGAAGCUCUCACUGGCUGUCAACUAACUGCUUUUGGUAAAUGUUACCACUACUUUUAUUCAAUUUCCACACCCUUGGAUGUCUCAUUCAAUAUUUAAUGAUACUCUGGCUUGGCAAAAUAAAAGAAACUGUAGAUUAUUUUUGCAAAACACAUCUGCUUGCUACAGAAAAAAAAAAAAGUGUGUGGAAAGGAAAAUAGGACAUUGAUUCAAAUUUCCCUGGACAGCUUUUAAAACCAGCUUUUGAAAAAAUCAUAUCAAAGAAUACUUUCUAAUUUCUAAGAAAGCCAAAAAGUCACUUAGUGCUUAUCACAACUACCUUUAUGUUUUCAGUCAAAUCUAUAGUGAGUUUCUUUAUAUAACUGAUAUGUUCAAUAUGUUCCCCGACUCUAUGAUUUCAAGCAAGAUUUUGCUAGUUUAAACUAUUGUAGAUUUUUAUAGCUGUUAUAUGUUUUGCCCCGAUUAGUUUACCUUGGGUCCUUGGUCAGAAAUAGGACACCUAUUUCUCAUUAUAAGUGUUCCUAGGAGAGAAAUCAAUCUUUUUGACAAUGAAACAAGUGAGGACAAUUUUCAUGAAGAUCCUCUAGUGUAAAGCAAGAAUAGCUUGUUGUAGGCCUUCACCACAAAGAAAGGACCAGAGGGGGCAAUAUUCUACUCUUUGCUUUGGAUAAAUCAUUCAGAUUUUAUGAGUCCUUGCAUAGAUCCUUUCUCUAUGUAGGAACCAGCCACAUGUCCCUAAGGGGGUUUCACAGAUAUCCAGGUACAGCAGUGAUGGCUGUCCAUAGACAGGAAGAUCGGUAUCCAGGACAAUUUAUAUGAAGUAUCUGGCAUAGUCUAUGGUCAGUAGGCUAUGAACCCUAAGGUAUAUCCAGGAGCUAGUUCUUGGUGGCCCUAACUGUAUACUCACUUCUGAUGCUUCUCUCUUUAAGGAUGGCCGAGGGAUAAAUUUGGAUGGGCUUACAAAUGGAAUCAAAUGCUUAAUCUGGAUGCCGGUGAGCUAUCUGAGAGGCAAUUUUAUAAAGGAUGAAAAUAUUCAUGUAGAAGAAUAAACUGCUUUAGGCACAGGAAAGCUAUUUUUUAGAAAGAUCUGUGGUUUAAAGGGUGCCUGUGAUAUCUGGAUAUUUCUUUUCUCAUCCACCACUUUCAUAAAGCCACAUGACAUAAAAAAUACAUCAUAAAAUUCUAACUUAAAAGACUCUCCUCAAAACGUUGCUUCUCAUCUGAUGCCGACUUCUAUUCCAGCCCAUCAUACCAACCACUUAAUGGAACUGCUUUUACUGACAAG
rnacentral:lncRNA from 1 species